rnacentral:siRNA from 1 species
CAGCGCACGGUAGCUUCGCGC